rnacentral:misc_RNA from 1 species
UGGUGAACCAGCGGAGGGAUCAUUAAUGAGUUGUAAAACUCCAACCAUCGCGAAUAUCACCUAUUGCAGUUGCUUCGGCGGGUGGCCCUGAGAGGGGCCGCGCUCUCCUACGGGGAGCAUGCCCGCCGGAGUCGUACAAACUCUUGUAUUUUUUGGCAUCUCUGAGUAACUUUUACAAUAAGUUAAAACUUUCAACAACGGAUCUCUUGGUUCUGG